rnacentral:rRNA from 1 species
GACGAACGCUGGCGGCGUGCUUAACACAUGCAAGUCGAACGAAGUGGCGAACGGGUGAGUAACGCGUAAUCAACCUGCCCUUCAGAGGGGGACAACAGUUGGAAACGACUGCUCAUACCGUAUACUGAGGGAGGGGAUUGCGUCUGUUUAGCUAGUUGGAGGGGUAACGGCCCACCAGGGCGAUGAUCAGUAGCCGGUCUGAGAGGAUGAACGGCCACAUUGGGACUGAGAAACGGCCCAGACUCCUACGGGAGGCAGCAGUGGGGAAUCUGCGGCAAUGGACGAAAGUCUGACGGAGCAACGCCGCGUGAGUGAAGACGGCCUUCGGUUUGUAAAACUCUGUUAUUAGGGAAGCGGUACCUAUUCAGAAAGCCACGGCUAACUACGUGCCAGCAGCCGCGGUAAUUC